AACCUCUUCUCUCUCGCUUAGUUCAAUGCAAGAAUGAGGAUGAAGUUGUGGCUGUUAUUGCACACGAGCUUGGACAUUGGAAACUGAAUCACACUACGUACUCGUUUAUUGCAGUUCAAAUCCUUGCCUUCUUGCAAUUUGGUGGAUACACUCUUGUCAGAAACUCCACUUAUCUCUUCGGGAGUUUUGGAUUUAACACAAAGCCGGUCCUCAUUGGGUUAAUCAUAUUUCAGGUCUGUUAUUUUUUUCUUUUUCUUUUGGAC